GAGUCUGAGAGGACAUGGCGGUCGGUAAACAGGACUUAAUUCUGUUCCUCAUCCACCCAGAACCCUCCCUGAGGGCCUCCCCUGCACUUUGGAAACAGCCCAAGCUUUGAAAUCAGGAAGUUUGAAGACUGGUUCUGCUACUUCCAGGCUGUGUGGCCUUGGAUGCCGUGCCUGCGUUUGUGCGGUUGAAGGAAAGGAGGAAAAUGAGAAGGGCCAAGAUUGACCUGACUUGAUUUACGGGAAAGAAGAGACAGUUGCUGGAGGAAGAAGGACCCAUCCACUGGAAAAGGAUGAGAAAAAGGAGAGAGAGAGAAGUCAGAGGCUGGGUUGGGAGUGAAUUUGGGAGAUUGUGGAGGAAAAGAGGAGAGAGAUUUGUGGGGUAGCUGUAGGACAUGCAACUGUAUUUAGAAAGGGAGAGAGUUGGGAGACUUUGUGGGAUUAUUAAAUUUCCCUUUAGCAUUUGUAGAGGGCAUUCCAUUAAAUACGCCAAUGGUUUUAUCAAACAGGUUGUUUAAAAUCAUUUUCCUCUGUCAUCUUAUCCAAGAAUAAAAUAAGAACAGAAAUAUCCAGAAGC
rnacentral:lncRNA from 10 species